rnacentral:rRNA from 1 species
UACGGAGGGUGCAAGCGUUAUCCGGAUUCACUGGGUUUAAAGGGUGCGUAGGUGGCGUGGUAAGUCAGUGGUGAAAUCUCCAAGCUUAACUUGGAAACUGCCGUUGAUACUAUCAUUCUUGAAUAUCGUGGAGGUAAGCGGAAUAUGUCAUGUAGCGGUGAAGUGCUUAGAUAUGACAUAGAACACCGAUUGCGAAGGCAGCUUGCUACACGAUCAUUGACACUGAGGCACGAAAGCGUGGGGAUCAAACAGG